rnacentral:lncRNA from 1 species
CAACAAUCAUCGAUAGUCAAGAAAGUAUCGACAGCAAUUAAAUAGCAAAAAAAAAUAUCAAUUUCCAUUUCAUUUUAUUAAAACUUUUGCUACAUUUGUUCGCUACUCUAAAGGUAAGUAAAUUUGAAUUUGAUGUUUAACAUUGGCAUAGAACGAUGGUUAAUUGCAGCAACCGAUUAAGAUGGAGUCCGCUCAGUCGAACCUUGCAUCGAGAGCUUCGCCAUUGAUAAUGACUGAAAAAUCCAUCCACGUUAUUUGUAUACGGCAGCCAAUCCGCCUCACGAGAGUCGAACUCCUGCAGGGAACCUCCGCUAGGCUCUUACUGACUACCCCAACCAAUGAGCAGCAAGUGCUGGGCAAUGUGUCUAAGAGUCUGCCGAAAAUGGCUCUGCACGUGGAUGUCAGCUUUGGCGACCAGCUGUGCCUGGAAGGCGAUCGCCCCGCGCUUGUGGGUUUGCAUGGACUCUUGCCGAACCUCAACGAGACCAGCGGUCCCCUUUGCAUGACGCAAUGCUUCCUAAUUGUCCAGAAGGGGCUUCGUGUUGAAGUCCGCACAAUUAAUGCUUAAUCUUGCAAAUCAUUGUUCAAAGCACUAACACACACACACACACACACGAUGCAAAAAAAAAACAUAGAAUGACGGAUGCAGUAGUUCCUGGAACACAGCUGCAACCUGGCCACUGGUCUGUGUGCUUCUCAGUUCUCCAUUUGAUAUAACAUUCGAGGCACUCGCUCAC